GCUAAAACCAUUUUAUUCUCAUAAAACCAAAUACAAACUACAAAAAAAAAGAUACAAGCUCAUCCACUCUACUAAUAGGUAAACCACCAUUCAUUUAAUGCUAUUUACUUUGGGCAGCACAAGCAAUGCAACCUGAAUUAUUCUCCCUAUACAGCCAACGUACCAGUAAAGCUAAAAUGGUUUUAAUCAUGAACACCUAAAUUACACCCUCUACAAUACAAGCUCAAUUUUAUGAGUUUCAAACAUUUAAAAUGUAUAUAAAUAAUUCAAAAGUCAUCAGAAUUAUUUUUAUAUAUAAACAAAAAUAAGAUAAAAAGCUAACAUGAGAAUUCG